GACGAACCGAGCGAACGUUGUUCGGAAUCACUGGGCUUAAAGGGCGCGUAGGCGGGUGCUCAAGUGCGGGGUGAAAUCCUCCGGCUCAACCGGAGAACUGCCUCGGAUACUGGGCGUCUCGAGUGUGGUAGGGGUAUGCGGAACUAUCGGUGGAGCGGUGAAAUGCGUUGAUAUCGAUAGGAACUCCGGUGGCGAAGGCGGCAUACUGGACCACCACUGACGCUGAUGCGCGAAAGCCAGGGGAGCAAACGGG
rnacentral:rRNA from 1 species